rnacentral:rRNA from 1 species
UACAGGGGGGGCAAGCGUUGUUCGGAAUUACUGGGCGUAAAGGGUCUGUAGGUGGCCAACUAAGUCAGACGUGAAAUCCCUCAGCUUAACUGGGGAACUGCGUCUGAUACUGGAUGGCUUGAGUGUGGGAGAGGAAUGCGGAAUUCCAGGUGUAGCGGUGAAAUGCGUAGAUAUCUGGAGGAACACCGGUGGCGAAGGCGGAUCUCUGGGCCAUUACUGACGCUGAGGAGCGAAAGCGUGGGGAGCGAACAGG